rnacentral:tRNA from 1 species
GGGGAUAUAGCUCAGUUGGUAGAGUGCUUGCCUCAUAUGCACAAGGCCCUGGGUUUAAUACCCAGCACCA